UACGGAGGUGGCAAGCGUUGCUCGGAAUCACUGGGCGUAAAGGGCGCGUAGGCGGGGAGGUAAGUCGAGUGUGAAAUCCCUCGGCCCAACCGAGGAACUGCGCCCGAGACUGCUUCUCUUGAGUCCCGGAGAGGAAGAUGGAAUUCCCGGUGUAGCGGUGAAAUGUGUAGAGAUCGGGAGGAACACCGGUGGCGAAGGCGGUCUUCUGGACGGUGACUGACGCUGAGGCGCGAAAGCGUGGGGAGCAAACGGG
rnacentral:rRNA from 1 species